GGCAUGAAUGUGCAGCGGAUUCUCAAGCAGUAACAGCUGAUUCAGGAGCAGUAAGAGCUUCGAGUGGAACAGCUUCUUCUAUUCCUUGUUGGCCUGCAGCUCUCCUUCUCUUGGGUAUCUGUUGAGUCUGCCCUGUGCCGAACUGAAGCCAACUCUUGCUUCUUCUGUUGUAAAGAACGUUGAAUAUGUCCAAACGAGUGUUUGUUCCAGAGCCGAAGAUUAAGAUUAGUACGACACGAUUUAAUUUAAUAAAGUAGUAGUUUUGCUACUACAAUAGAGUAGUUAUGAGUUUUCAGCCUAAUCGAUCAGAGGAAUUUUCUUCAAUCUCAUCCUCGAACAGGCCGCAAUAUUUCCUAUUUCUCGUCCAAGCCUUUAUGAGGAGGUGAUUCCCUUUCUUCCACACCGAACAAGCCCCAUUGCUCAAAGUGCUCUGAAUCCGGUCAACAAAUAAGGACCCGGGCUAAGCCUUC
rnacentral:misc_RNA from 1 species